GACGAACGCUGGCGGCGUGCCUAAUACAUGCAAGUAGAACGCUGAAGAGAGGAGCUUGCUCUUCUUGGAUGAGUUGCGAACGGGUGAGUAACGCGUAGGUAACCUGCCUUGUAGCGGGGGAUAACUAUUGGAAACGAUAGCUAAUACCGCAUAACAAUGGAUGACACAUGUCAUUUAUUUGAAAGGGGCAAUUGCUCCACUACAAGAUGGACCUGCGUUGUAUUAGCUAGUAGGUGAGGUAAUGGCUCACCUAGGCGACGAUACAUAGCCGACCUGAGAGGGUGAUCGGCCACCCUGGGACUGAGACACGGCCCAGACUCCUACGGGAGGCAGCAGUAGGGAAUCUUCGGCAAUGGGGGCAACCCUGACCGAGCAACGCCGCGGGAGUGAAGAAGGUUGUCGGAUCGUAAAGCUCUGUUGUAAGUCAAGAACGGGUGUGAGAGUGGAAAGUUCACACUGUGACGGUAGCUUACCAGAAAGGGACGGCUAACUACGUG
rnacentral:rRNA from 1 species